rnacentral:rRNA from 1 species
UACGGAGGUCCCAAGCGUUGUUCGGAUUUAUUGGGCGUAAAGGGUGCGUAGGUGGCGCCGUAAGUCGGGUGUGAAAUUUCGGAGCUUAACUCCGAAACUGCAUUCGAUACUGCGGUGCUUGAGGACUGGAGAGGAGACUGGAAUUCAUGGUGUAGCGGUGAAAUGCGCAGAUAUCAGGAGGAACACCGGUGGCGAAGGCGGGUCUCUGGGCCGUAACUGACGCUGAGGAGCGGAAGCAUGGGGAGCGAACAGG